AGAAACACCUGAACAGAAAGAAGGGAAAGACAAAAAGACAUGCGAAGAGGGAAAAUCGAUUUGGAACAGAGGGGUGAAAGAAGGGGCCAAAUAGUUCUUCUUCACCAAGUUUUUUCACUUGGUUAAUUCCUUCUCCCCUGUACUUCAUCACAAUU
rnacentral:ribozyme from 13 species